UGGGGAAUUUUGGACAAUGGGCGCAAGCCUGAUCCAGCAAUGCCGCGUGCAGGAAGAAGGCCUUCGGGUUGUAAACUGCUUUUGUCAGGGAAGAAAUCUUCUGGGCUAAUACCCCGGGAGGAUGACGGUACCUGAAGAAUAAGCACCGGCUAACUACGUGCCAGCAGCCGCGGUAAUACGUAGGGUGCGAGCGUUAAAUCGGAAUUACUGGGCGUAAAGCGUGCGCAGGCGGUUAUGUAAGACAGAUGUGAAAUCCCCGGGCUCAAACCUGGGAACUGCAUUUUGUGACUGCAUGACUGGAGUGCGGCAGAGGGGGGAUGGAAUUCCGCGUGUAGCAGUGAAAAUGCGUNGAUAUGCGGAGGAACACCGAUGGCGAAGGCAAUCCCCUGGGCCUGCACUGACGCUCAUGCACGAAAGCGUGGGGAGCAAAACAGGAUUAGAUACCCUGGUAGUCCACGCCCUAAAACGAUGUCAACUGGUUGUUGGACGGCUUGCUGUUCAGUGACGAAGCUAACGCGUGAAGUUGACCGCCUGGGGGGAGUACGGCCGCAAGGUUGAAAACUCAAAUGAAUUGACGGGGGUCAUA
rnacentral:rRNA from 1 species